rnacentral:misc_RNA from 1 species
AAGUCGUAACAAGGUUUCCGUAGGUGAACCUGCGGAAGGAUCAUUAAUAAUAACCUGUGGACUGACUUGUCAGUCUCACUAACAACACCUUGUGAACUUGUACCUGCAGAGCAAUCUGUGGGAAACAAACACCUUUGUAUCUAGUAGACUUAAAAAAUCACUAAUUUAAUACAACCUUUAACAAUGGAUCUCUUGGCUCCU